rnacentral:tRNA from 1 species
UGAAUUGAAGCCAGUUGAAUUAGGCGUUUAGCUGUUAACUAAAGAUUUAUAGGUUAAAAUCCUGUCAAUUCAG